rnacentral:rRNA from 1 species
CCCUUAGAUGUUCUGGGCCGCACGCGCGCUACACUGAUGCAUUCAACGAGCCUAUCCUUGACCGACAGGUCCGGGUAAUCUUUGAAUCUGCAUCGUGACGGGGAUAGAUUAUUGCAAUUAUUAAUCUUCAACGAGGAAUGCCUAGUAGGCGCAAGUCAUCAGCUUGCGUCGAUUACGUCCCUGCCCUUUGUACACACCGCCCGUCGCUCCUACCGAUUGGGUGUGCUGGUGAGGCUUUGGGAUCUGAGCGGAAAGAGCGUUUCGCUGUUUCUGCUCGGAAAACUCAGUCGAACCUUAUCAUUUAGAGGAAGGAGAAGUCGUAACA